UAUCUCUGUAGAGUCUGCAUAUCAAUAAGCGGAGGAAAAGAAACUAACAAGGAUUCCCCUAGUAACGGCGAGUGAAGCGGGAAGAGCUCAAAUUUGAAAUCUUAAAGGGUUUCCCUUUACGAAUUGUAGUUUAAAGAAGUGUUUUCUGUUGGAGUUUCGGUAAAAGUUCUUUGGAAUAGGACAUCAUAGAGGGUGAGAAUCCCGUAUUUGACCGUUACUUUCCAGCUGUGUGAUACACUUUCAAAGAGUCGGAUUGUUUGGGAAUGCAGUCCAAGAUGGGUGGUAAAUUUCAUCUAAAGCUAAAUACUGGCGAGAGACCGAUAGCGAACAAGUACCGUGAGGGAAAGAUGAAAAGAACUUUGAAAAGAGAGUUAAACAGUACGUGAAAUUGUCAAAAGGGAAGCGUUUGACACCAGUGUUGUUUUCUCGAAAAUCAAUUAAAAAUGGCUUGAUUUUGUGUUGUAUUGACCUUAAAAGCUUUCUGCACUUUUUUCAUGUCUUUUUUAAUGCACUUUUCGUUUAACAAGUCAACAUCAGUUUCUUUUGUUGUAAAAAGGUCAUUGGAAGGUGGCUUUCUUUUCGGAGAAAGUGUUUAUAGCCUUUGACUCCUGCAAUCGGAGAGACUGAGGUCUGCAGCGUAGAUCCUUCUUGGAUUAGAUUCAUUUAGUGCUAAGUUAUAGCUUUUUAUAGACAACUUGUUGACUAUAUUUAGUCUUGUAGCUUACUCGCUUAUGCAAUUUUACCUACGCUUAGGAUGUUGAACGCGCACAGAGUCUC
rnacentral:rRNA from 1 species